UUUAGAUAUAUUCAGUAUUAGUUUUGUUCAUAUUAGAUUUCAUUUUAUAUGUUUUUUCCCACCUAGUUUUAGAUUUAUUUUUAAAUAAAUAGAUCACAACUCUAUAAUUUCUAAACUUGAUUUUGUCAAGUCCUAGGAUUGAUCCCUAGUCAGCCCUAUACUACAUUAGUGAGGAUUAAGAUUUGUUGACUUUUUGUGCGACCAAAAAGUCUUUCAACAAAUGGCGCGAUUUUUCUUGUUGCAUUUUGUGUGUUUAGGUUUCUGUUUCUGAAAUUCCAGCACCCAUGAGUAGUGAUUCUUGUCAUGGUAAUUCUUGCAUUCAUUUUUUUUCUGUUUAGGCAUUCUCUGUUAUUUUGUAAAAAUCUAAAAAUAUAGGUUGUUGCUUCAGUUUUGUUUCUUGUGUUCUCUUCUGGCAUAACCUCUGCUUAAGUGGAUGACUAGUGCAGGAUAGUUGUUAUUGCUGUCCUUGGUCUAUAGACAAAUUCUGUGCUGUAACUUUGGAUUAGCCAUCAUGAUCUGGCCAAGAGUGAUGUAUAUGAAGGAGUGGAAUAAUCAAGAGACAGCCUUCCAGCCUCCCUGCAUUCAAGUACCCUGCAUGAUGCAGCCAGAGACCGGUUUAUCUACCAGCACCAACCUUUUGGGAAUUGGCAGGAGAUGCAGCAGAGAUUCCUCAAUAAGUUUUUCCCAGCAACCAAAAUCAGAAGGGAAAUCAUGGCUAUUGAACAGUUCCAAGAGGAAAGUGAAAGUUUAGCUGAGUGCUGGGAGAGAUUCAACAGGCUUUGCACAACCUGUCCCAACCACCAGAUUUCAAGCCCAGGCUUCUGGUUUACUUUUAUGAGGGCCUGCUUUACAAAGACAACGUGUUGGUUGAUGCACUCUCCUAGACAAGACACCAACAGAAGCAAGGAAGCUGCUGAGCAAAAUGGCUGGAAAUGAUCCUGAUAAAGUAUUUGGUGAGCAAACAAUUCAGGUAUACUCUGAACUUAACAUUCCUAUUGAUUCCUUUGAGGUUCACAUAGAUGUCAAUGCUUUUAGUCUGCUGAAAACUGAACCCAUAGAACAUGCCACGAAUAUUGUUGCUGUCAUGCCUGUGCAUUCUGAUAUUCUUGAUUCAGCAUUUCAAAUUGAACAUAUUAACAUACCAAUUGCUGUUUCAGAUACAUGCAUUGAUCUUAAUAGCAUAUUGUAUGAUAGCCUUGAUGAUGUAGCUGAACAAAAGACUCCAGUCGUUUUACCUGAUGUGCUUAUGCAUGUAAAUGCCUUUGAUUUGUUGCACAUUGAUUCUAUAGAGUUUAUGACUGAAACUGGUACAGUGUUGAAUGAUCAUACUAAAGUUCUUGAUUCAAUUUUAACUAUUGAACCUGUGGAUUUGAAUGCUACUAUUUUUAACUCAAAUAUGGACGAUUGCCUUGUUGAAAUUUUGAAUGAUAAUAGAUUUGAAAUGCCCUUUGGUUCUGCUGAUGAUUCCUAUGUUACUAUUGAUUUUGAGAUAGAAACUGUGUAAUAUGAGAACUUUAUAGAGUAAGGACUAAACUUUGAUCUAACACAAUUUUCUGGAAAUUUCAAAGUGAAUCUGGUUUUAUAGCUACUGCAGCAGUUCUCUUGGAAAAAUGAGAAGCAAAACCUGGCACCCGAGAGAGCAGCGUUGAUCCAACUAAUUCCUGGGCAGAAACGGAUUGGUGCAGCCAGGGAGUUGCUGCAAGGAGUGAUUGAGUGCAUGAGAAACAGACUGAUAAUCUUUCCUGUCUUUUCUUUUUCAUAGUUUUAAAUAUUUUCUAGUAGGUAGAAUAAUCUUAGGUACUAUAAUAAAUAGUAAAGUAGAACAUAUGUUGUUUUUUAUAAAAAUAAAGAAAAUAAAUUUUGACUUGUGGCCAAUCUAAACAACUUUCCUUUUCUUUUAGUUUUGUAGUUUUAGUGUUUUGUGUUUUUCCUAAUUCUGUUAUGUACAUAUUGUUCAAUCUAUGUUUUCUCAAUUCCAAUUUUUGUAUAAUUCUGAUUUUUAUGCUGAUUUCAUUCUGAUUCAUAUACAGUAAAUAACUGUGUAUACCUGUACUGUGUAGUGAUGCAGUAUCGUUCUUUCUAUUGAUUAAAAUAUUUCAAAUAAUAGCACAUACAUAUUGAGUCCUUAUUUAUGCUGCCCCUUAAUAUUCCUCCAUUUUCUUUUAUAUUUCCACUUUAAAAGCAAUGUAGUUGAUUUUCUCGUUUGUGUUAAAGUUAGUUUUAUCCUAUGUAGUUGAUUACUAUUAUUUCUCUCAUUUAUAACUAGUCUGUAAAAUAUUUAAGAAUUAGGUAGAUAUAUUUUGACAUCUACGCAUGUAGCAGAUAGUUAUAUGUUUUCCAUCUUAGUAUUUUGUAGUUGUUUUGUUGUAUAUGACUAUUUGUUAACUAAUCCUUUAUAUAUUAUUUUCAGGCAAAGCACACAUGCUAUCAAGGAAUCUUGGGUGCAAUGUCUCAAGUGUUUGGUCAAUCUGUGGCGCUGUGUGUAUUUAUGAAUGUAAAAUAAUUCCCAAAGUGUUUGGCUGAAUUAAGAAAGAGAACCUUCAUCAACAAUUAACAGUUGCUAUGUGUUAACUCUCUAUUUUUUCCUCAAUUUUGUGUGUUAAUAUUCUUCUUUUAGCAUAGUUUAGCUUUUAAUUUUCUAGAAUUAAAAUAGUUUAGAGUAAUUAGGAUUAAAAUAGGUUUUUGUAAAAUUAGUGUUAAUUUUUUUUGGUUAAAUAAAAUAUGUUUUUAAAUAAAUAAAUGUUUUUGCUCUUUUCUUUAAAUGUAGAAAUUUGUUUUUUUGAAUAUUAGGAUUUUUCUUUACUGAUUAAACUCUUAAAUUCUUUCUUUUAUUCAGAUUAAGGGCUGAAGAAAUAUAAUGGGUUAGAUAUGGCUGAUUCUUGAAGUUGCUGUUGUGUCAGCUAUGUCAAAAAGCCCAAUGUUUUAAUCUUGCUGGCAGAGGAUGAAGAAACAUGAAUUGGGUCAGCGCUGAAAUGGAAAGAAACGCACUUUUGUGUAUUUGGGCUGAAACAAGAAUAAAUUGAGUUGAGCGAUGAUGNUGUGCUGAAAACCAAUUAAGCUACGCUUUUGGAAGAAUCUGCUGAUGCUGAAUGGGNUGAAGUGAAUUGGGCCAGCGCUGUUGGAGUUAAUUUGAAGCCCUCUGUGCAGAUUAAGUGAAACGCAGCGUUUCAUGCUGCUAAGAUUUGCCAAGCUGAAGGGGUCUUCUAACUUGUGUUUCAUUUAAUGCGAGGAAGCUCGAAGCAAAGGGGGAUUUUUCUCCCAAUUCUUCUAACUCAGGGUUCUAGAGAACGCGAGAAAGAAAGGAGAGCUGGUUCGUGAGCGCAAAGCUGUAUCAGACACGUGCGGGAAGCUGGAUCAGUCAGGUUUACGGUUGGAAGCACGUGCAAAACGGUCGACGGUUGGAGAAACUUUCAGAGUCAGUUUUCGGUUCAUCUCCUUUUCCCCAUUUUUCUUCUUUUUAAUGAAAACUAAAUAUUUAAUAAGUGUUUUAUUUUAAUAUCAAGAAGUUUGUUGUAAUUAAAGAAUGUAUUAAAAUAACACUUUUUGUUACCAUAAAAUCAGAUCAAACAAAGCCCAGAAAUCUGAACUAUUCUCAUUGCUAAAAAGUUAUUCCUCCUUUUCCCCUCUCCGUUAUUCUCACACCUCUUUGCAUUCUCUCUCUAAUCUCUGCACAUAGGCUUUUCCAUUGUUCUUUCUUUUUUGUUUUUCUUCUUUCAUAUACGAAAAAUUGCAACAAAUAACAACCGUUAACAACAAACAACCAAGUUUUCAUCAAUCUUUCUUUGCUUUCAUUUAUUUUUAUUUUUUUGGUCACUGUUGGGUUAGGCCGAGAAACCCAAAAAGGAGUCGCGAGAAGUGAGAAACUCUUAUUUCAUUCUAGUUCUCCACCACUAGCCGAGAGUUCACCCUUUCUUAUCUUCUUUUCUCUUUGUUUUACUUCUUCUGCUUCGAAAAUGCAAACCCUAGGGACGUGAGGGAGAGAGAAUCCGAGGGUGGCACGAGAUUAACCUUAAGGAUGCGGAGUGCGUCAUUGGGUUUUUUUUAGGGUUUCACUCUCUUUCUUUUUGUUUUCUCAUUCUUUUUUCUUUUCCUUUUUUAUCCCAAUCGCUUUGCGGGGACGAAUUCUCUCCAUUAACAUUCAAAGCUUGUUUCUUUUUUUUUUUCUUGUUUUUAUUUCUUUUUUCUUGUAAGGGAUAGUGAAAAUUGGAAACGAAUUAACCCAAUUUCUGGCAAAUUUGUUUUCUUUUACUUUAUCGAAUUCUUGAUUUUGACAUUAGAACCUGCAACUCCGUUCUCGGUGCCACUUUAUGGAUGCAUAAAUCUUGCUACUGUUGAUUACUGUGUUUCUUUUUUCUGCAUCACAUUAUACUUAUUUAAGUGUGGUUUAUCUGCUUAAAUUGGUCUCUUAUCCUCCCCAAUAUAUACUUAGUACUUACUUAAGUUAGAUGGGUCUAUAUGUAGUAUAAUGUUUCUGCAAUAAUAUGUAANUUAUCUUUCAUCUUUUCUAAUAUUUUACUUAGUACAAGUUAGAUGGGUUUAUACUGUAGCAUAUUAUUAUUUCAGCAAAAUAUGACACUUCAUUUUCAGGCCGACUUAGGUGUAAAGACAAAGACCCAACUUAUGGCUGAGAAGUCUGUUUUUAAAAUCCUUUUGAUGACUGUCAUUGCUGCCAAUGGUGAGAGAGAUCUCACAGAUCCCACAAAUUGAUUUUGUUGUCAAUAUAUGUCGACAUUUUGCAGUAAUAUUUUCACAUUGAUUCUUUAUCUACCAAUGUAUCAGUAGCAGCACUUGGCGAUUCAUCACUCUCAAAUAACGUUCAUGUUGAUUCUAGGCUAAAAUGCAAUGCUUGUUCAAAUUUGAAGGAUCAGACACACGUGCGGGAAGCUGAUCAGUCAGAUUUACGGUUGGAUGCACGUGCAAAACGGUCGACGGUGGGAGAAGCUUUUAGAGUCAGUUUUCGGUUCAUCUCCUUUUCCCCAUUUUUCUUUUGUUUUUUUUUUCUAUAAAAGGAAGAGUUUUGUAAAAUGUAAGAACACAAGUGCAAUGAGUCAGUUUACAACUUUACUUGUUCAUUAAUUCCAUUUACAUUUUCUGCUCUUUUGAUUUCAAUUCCAAAUUACUUUUAUGAUUCAGUUUCUUGUUUUUGAUUUUCUUUUAUUGCUUCUUAUUCUGUUUCAUUUCUUUUAGUAUGUUUCAUUCAUUUCUGUUUAGUAAGUUUGUUUUCAUUAAUUGAUUUUACAUAUUAGAUGUUAGGUUUUGAUUCUUUUAGUAUNUUCUUUUAGUAUGUUUCAUUCAUUUCUGUUUAGUAAGUUUGUUUUCAUUAAUUGAUUUUACAUAUUAGAUGUUAGGUUUUGAUUCUUUUAGUAUGUUUCAUUCAUUUCUGUUUAGUAAGUUUGUUUUCAUCAAUUGAUUGUACAUAUUAGAUGUUAGGUUUUGAUUCUGUGUUAGAGUUUUGGUAAAUGCAUAUUUUGUAAUUAAAUUUGACUUGAAAUUUAAAGAAGACUAUGCAAAUCAAUAGUGUCUUGAUUGAAUGCUACAAGAUCCCAAAGAGGGCCUGAUUGUUCAAGAUGUCUUCUUGAGACAUAGGUUGCUUUAAGAUUUCAAGUUUAAAUUCAAUAGCAAAUAUGUGUUUGACAACUUCUUUUCUGAUAUGUGAUUUGGAUUAGAUUUAAAUUCUGUUUUCUUUGGUUGCUUUUAAAAUUCCAUAUUUCUGUUACUUUGAUCAUUCACCGUGGCAAUUUUGGUUCAUUAUAGGUUCUAUGUUUUUCUCUUACAUUUAGAUGAGUAUCCAAUUAAAGUUUCUUUCUAUAGCUUGUUUUUGAAUAGGUAGCGGUAGAUUUUAGAUUCUGUUAUGUCUGGGUUCUUUGCUUACAUUAGAAUAUCAUUUUAGGAUAAAAGUCAUGCAUUAUCUUCCUUUCUAUUCAUUUACUCAUUCAUGCAUCAUUCAUUAAAUUUCUUCCAUAUCAGUGCAUCCCUAUUCUUUACAUAGUUUCUGUUUUCAUCACAUUAUCUUGCAUUCAUUUAGAUUUAGUAGAUAUAUUCAGUAUUAGUUUUGUUCCUUUAAGAUUUCAUUUUAUAUUUUUUUCCCCACCUAGUUUUAGAUUUAUUUUUAAAUAAAUAGGUCACAACUCUAUAAUUUCUAAACUUGAUUUUGCCAAGUUCUAGGAUUGAUCCCUAGUCAGCCCUAUACUACAUUAGUGAGGAUUAGGUUUAGGUUUUGUUGACUUUUUGUGCAAAGGUUUAGGUUUCUGUUUCUGAAAUUCCAGCACCUGUGAGUAGUGAUUCUUGUCAUGGUAAUUCUUGCAUUCAUUUUUUUUUCUGUUUAAGCAUUCUCUUUUAUUUUGUAAAAAUCUAAAAAUAUAGGUUGUUGCUUCAGUUUUGUUUCUUGUGUUCUCUUCUGGUAUAACCUCUCUGCUUAAGUGGAUGACUAGUGCAGGAUAGUUGUUAUUGCUGUCCUUGGUCUAUAGAUAAAUUCUGUGCUGUAACUUUGGAUUAGCCAUCAUGAUCUGGCCAAGAGAGAUGUAUAUGAAGGAGUGGAAUAAUCAAGAGACAGCCUUCCAGCCUCCCUGCAUUCAAGUACCCUAAUUGAGGGGGAUGCCUAAUUUUGAGUUGAAGACCAAGCUAAUUAAGCUUCUGCCAGAAUUCCAUGGGCUGGCACAUGAAGACCCACACAAGCAUAUUAAGGAAUUCAGCUUGAUAUGUGCCUCCAUGAAGUCUACAGGAAUUUCAGAGGAAGCAGUGCUAAUGAAGGCAUUUCCCAUGUCCCUGCAUGAUGCAGCCAGAGACUGGUUUAUCUACCAGCACCAACCUUUUGGGAAUUGGCAGGAGAUGCAGCAGAGAUUCCUCAAUAAAUUUUUCCCAGCAACCGAAGUUGCCAAUAUCAGAAGGGAAAUCAUGGCUAUUGGACAGUUCCAAGAGGAAAGUUUAGUUGAGUGCUGGGAGAGAUUCAACAGGCUUUGCAUAACCUGUCCCAACCACCAGAUUUCAGAGCCCAGGCUUCUGGUUUACUUUUAUGAGGGCCUGCUUUACAAAGACAACGUGUUGGUUGAUGCAGCAGCUGGAGGUUUUCUCCUAGACAAGACACCAACAGAAGCAAGGAAGCUGUUGAACAAAAUGGCUGGAAAUGAUCCUAAUGAAGUAUCUGGUGAGCAAACAAUUCAGGUAUACUCUGAACUUAACAUUCCUAUUGAUUCCUUUGAGGUUCACAUAGAUGUCAAUGCUUUUAGUCUGCUUAAAACUGAACCCAUAGAACCUGCCA
rnacentral:lncRNA from 1 species